rnacentral:tRNA from 1 species
AUUUCUCCUGCCGAAAGGCGUCGUGGGUUCGAACCCCACUGCCGCUAAGCGGUAUAGUGAAGUGGUUAACACGGGAGGUUUAAGUC